UAUGAGGCCCGGGUUCAAAAUAAGCAAGAUCAGCCAAUUUAUUUUGCUAUUUCCCAUCAGAUUGUCUCCCAUUCUAUUUUUGCCUCCAUGUACACCAUACAAAAGACAUUAAAUAGAGUGUUUCUUUUAUUGUAUUUGCAGACACAAGAAAUGCAGAGACAAUUUAACAGGAAAAGUGUCACUUAAACUUCCUCCUUCAUUUUAGCUCCAGAGAACAUCCUGUAUGCUGGCUGCCUUGCGUGCUCCACUACUUAGAAGCUUCUGCAGAUUCACUGAUGUUCACUGAAGUGACAGGAUGCUUAAGAAACAGGUCACUAAAACAGACCACAGAUUGUACUGUGUAUUCUCUGGGAUACUAGACCACAGCCAAAAAGUUGACCUUUAUUACUAUCACCUGUCCUUAUCAGUGCCAUGGAAAAAAAGCCUCUUACUGCCUUUCAGACUUCAGCAACAAAGCCAUGCUCUGAAAGAAAAAGAAAGAAAAAAAAGAGAGAAAGAAAGAGAGAAAGAGAAAGAGAAAGAGA